ACACUCUGUGCACUUUCUGCUCAGAAGAAUCCCAUGAAAAAAAGUGGAUUAUUUGAGACUACAAAUGCAAGAAAGUCUCAGUACCCCCUCCAGAUCUAUGUACAAAAGCUGCAAGGAUCAUGUAUCAAACCUAGAUGUUUCCAGAGACAUCCGGGGGCAGAAAAUCAACCUGCCUCAGGUGGAGAAGCCAUCGGAGAAAAUUUCAGCACCCAUCCAGUCUGUUAUUGCUGUGGAUAAAAGUAAAGUAACAACAGACCACAGUCGAUACUUCAGGGCUCGCUCGAACACUUUAGUAGUGCCUUUUCAUAGUACUAGAGAGAUUAAACUGGAAAACAAAUCCACGUUAGAUUUGCCAUCUUCAAAGGUAGCAUCAGAAGGACUGUCAGCCGAGACACACAAAGUUCCAGAGUGUCCAAAUUGCAAAAAGGAAAGGAAGCUCCAAAAUGAGUACGACAAGUUCAUUUUGCAGUCCAAGAGGGACAAGGAGGCCUUGCAGAAGACGAUUGUGAAGCUAGAAGCUGAGCUGAAAAGAUAUGAAGAGCAUAAUAAACCAGCUCAAGGACAAGAGAGUGAAGUAACCUGCUCUGUGGAAGAACAGCAGCACCUGAGAGGGGAAGUUUCCCUUUUUGAUGGUUUGGUAGGAAUGUGUAAAAAUGAACUAGCAUAUAUGAGAAGCAGAUCAGACCUGAACAAACUGGAAGAGGAGAGCAAAGGGAAGCAGCAACAAAUGGAUAGUUUGUUAGUUGAAAUGGAGGAAUUAAAAGCCCAGCUGCAAAGAAUUCAGAAUAAUGAGGAAAAACAAGCCCAGAUGACCAAAAUGAAGCAAAGCAAGUUGGUUCUUGAAAUGGAAGAGUUAAAGUCCCAACUUGAAAAAACAAAGGAGCGGGAAAGGCAAAAAGUAUCAGUUUUAGAAAAUGAGAAGGAUGCCUAUCUGAGGGAAAUAGCAGAAAUGAAAACUUGCAUUGAGAAGAUGGGCACAGAGAACAGUUCACUUAUGGAGAAAAUGAAAGCCUUGGAGAAUAGGUCUUCCUGCUGUUGUUUGGCUUCAGUGGUUCAUGGCAAUGCAGAAGUACUAACAAUUUCUCACCACAGCACAUUUGGUGUUGAUGCAGAAAGUCCUCAUUGCUUCAAUAGUUGUGGUGGUGCAACUUGCAAUUCUGGGACACAAAGGGGUAAAUGUGUUGCUGGGACAAGCUCGGUGGAGGACGAUGAAAUCGGAAUGAAAGAGAUGUAUAAACAGCUGAUCAUACCACCUAGAUAGGUUCCCAAAACUUCUACUGAUGUCAGAGGACAUGGGCAUACAAGGCACCAGCAUAAGGUUCUUA
rnacentral:lncRNA from 1 species